rnacentral:rRNA from 1 species
CGGAACGGGUGAGUAACGCGUGAGGAACCUGCCUCAAAGAGGGGGACAACAGUUGGAAACGACUGCUAAUACCGCAUAAGCCCACGGCUCGGCAUCGAGCAGAGGGAAAAGGAGCAAUCCGCUUUGAGAUGGCCUCGCGUCCGAUUAGCUAGUUGGUGAGGUAACGGCCCACCAAGGCGACGAUUGGUAGCCGGACUGAGAGGUUGAACGGCCACAUUGGGACUGAGACACGGCCCAG